ACAGUCCCUACACAACAGUGGGCUCACAGUCUAAAAGAAUAAUUUCCAAGAAUAAUUUCUAACCUCCAAAGGACGUUCUGCAUUUUAUCUUCUAGAACUGGAAGCCCAACAUGAAUCUAGCUGCGCUUUGGGGGCACCCAGAAAGUCUGCCAUUUCGCCCCGCCGAUAAGUAGUAGCCGCUGGCAGUGAUUGUGCUGAGAGGAUAAGGAAGGUACAGCUCCCUUGGGGCCUGGCGUGAAGUGAUGGAGGCUGGCUGAGCCACGGUGACAGCUCAUCGGCAAACUUUGGGAAUUCCCACGACCCGAGGACAGCAUUCCAAGACCCGUCCAGAGCUACCUCCAGUGUGGCCUGGUCCCUGGAUCUGACCAAGG